CAGAGAAUAACAGAGAUCUCAUCUCAAAGGGGGCCAGAGAUGGUGAAAGGAAGAAAGGGGAAAACCCAAGGCAGGUUCUCUGAGGAAAUGACUUUUAGGUUGAAACGGGGAGGAGGGGGAAUCCACCACCAGAGAAGGGAAUUGAGACCCACAAAGGUGAAGUAAUUGGCUCAGAGUUAAACAGCCUGACAACAGAAGAGACAAGCACCGCAUCUUCCGGUCUAAAAUCCCUCUCGAGGGUUCAGGAUACAGGAAAAGUAGUUAUGCCUGAAGAUAAGUUGCUGACUUCGCUUCUACUUCAGUCACCCCUUUCUGAUCUUCCCAAGAAGAAAUAAAGAAUGAACAUUAAGGACAAUUAUGAAGCAAUACCCACAAUAAAACAAGAAUGAGAUCAUUUUAUUAUUCAAGAAAUUGCCACAGCCUCCGUAACCUUCAGCAGCCACCAUCCUGAUCAGUUAGCAGCCAUCAUCAAGACAAGACCCUUCCCCAGCAUAAACAUUACGGCUUGCUGAAGACUUAGAUC
rnacentral:lncRNA from 1 species